rnacentral:rRNA from 1 species
GAUGAACGCUGGCGGCGUGCCUAAUACAUGCAAGUCGAGCGAACGGACGAUAAGCUCGCUUCUCUGCUGUUAGCGGUGGACGGGUGAGUAACACGUGGAUAACCUACCUAUAAGACUGGUACAACUUCGGGAAACCGGAGCCAUUACCGGAUAAGCUUUUAAACCGUAUGGUUCAAUACUGCAAGACGGCUUUGUUGUAACUUACAAAUGUACCGGGGCUGCAUUAGCUGGUUGGUGAGGUAACGGCUUACCAAGGCAACGAUGCAUAGCCGACCUGAGGGGGUGAUCGGCCACACUGGAACUGAAACAGGGUCCAGACUCCUACGGAAGGCAGCAGUGGGAAAUCUUCCGCAAUGGGGAAAAGCCGAACGAAGCAACGCCGGGUGGGUGAUGAAGGUCUUCGGAUCGUAAAACUCUGUUAUUGGGAAAGAAGAUAUGUGGAAGUAACUGUGAACAUCUUGACGGUACCUAACCAGAAAGCAACGGCUAACUACGU